ACGAAUAUGAUUUAUAUCUUCAUCUUUGUGAACACUUUAGUCUUUAUUGACUUUAAUUGCUUCGGUCGCUGUUAGCAGCGGCCGGUAGAAAAACUUUUUAAACUUUAGUCUAAUACUUAAGAUUUUAAUAAUCA
rnacentral:misc_RNA from 1 species